AUCACUGGUGUUAAUUGUGCUGUGAAGGCUUUGCUGCGUUGUGCUCGGUAAGCUAAUGUUUUCUAGUCGCUGUAAUAUUUAAGCGUUUUCAGUCCCUCGAAAAACCGGACGUUCCAAGUUUUGUUCGAGUUCAAUGCCAUAGCCCUAGUCCAUUCUGCCAGCAACAAUGUCUUUUCGUUUUCAUCGUCCAAUAGGUGCCUAUUGAAGGCUGGUUGGUUUUGUGUUCUUAAAUGUUGCUGAUGAAUUUUUAAGACUACAGGUGCGUGGUCUGAGACGUGAGUAAGGGAAUGCCAGAUAGCAGUCUGUCCUCCAAGUUGGAUAAGAGUAUGGUUUAAGUAAAAUCUAUCUAAGCCGGAACAGAUCAUUCCUGGGGCAUUACGUCUAUUAUCCCAGAACUUCUUCGUGGAUAGUUUCCUAAAUUCAUCCGCUCUAAAACUAUCCUGAAGGCCUAGGUGUACCUGUAAGUCUCCCCAGGGUACUUGUUCUCUUUGGCCACGGCCGAUGAUGUCUUGCCUUCCUUGUUUAUCAUCUAAUUGAUCUAUCAUAUUGAAGUCUCCGCCUAGGAUCCAGUGGGCUUCAGGCAGUGGAUAGUGUCGUAUUUUAGUCCAUAACCUUGUUCGAGAUCCAGUAUAGUUAAAUGCAUAUAUUUUUUAAAUCCCGAUUUUCAGAAAAGAUGUCCAUUGGAGGGUAACAUACUGAACCAUUCCUUUCAUUAUGACCCCAUGUUCGCAGAUGAGGCUUGCUAUUUUUUCUGAUAAUAGUAUACCCGUGCCCCCCUUAAAGCUAUCUUUUUGAGCGCAAUAGGUUGCCUCAUUCCAGAGAGAGACGCCUUUUGCAAAUUCAAUCUGUUUUGUGUGCCUCUUCCCUUCUUCUAGUGAUAACUUGUGCUCUUGAACCAGAAUUAUUUCUGGUUUGGGAUUUCUGGAAGAAAUCUCGUAUCUCACGUCGCUUACGGACUCCAUUGAUGUCGCGUCCUAGUCCUUGCACGUUAAGCGACGUGAGAGUAAGGUGGUUAUUCAUCUAUCACGUCCGGUUAAGGAGUUGUGGACUUCCCUUCUUUAUCAUCUUUAUGAUUCGGUACAGUAGCAUUAUGCUGUGACGUUGAGGCCCCUGGAAGUCUUGUGGUAUUAUAGCCCAGGAAGGCUGGUAGCUCAUUUGAAUCCAAGUCCCAAGCCUGUGUUCUGUCCUGUGUGAAUCGCCUGAGGUCUUCCUGUAUGGUCAUGGGGAGUACUUCCCACUGUUGCCUGGUGCUGUUACGCGGUGCACAGAUUUCCUCAUCGUAUUUGAUUAAUGCUGUGAUUGUGCAUAAAGGUGGGUGUGUGGUUGAUUUUGACCAUGUGAAGAGCCAGCACGCGUCCUCCCACACCCGAAGUGGGUUGACAUGUUUGUGUUUCAACACUACUUGUCCUCGUAUGUGAAGCAUGGUCUCAUUGACGACAUGAGUACGAGCCGAUAAUUGGGUCCAUUCCUAUUCCCCUUGUCCAUGUGUCAGCGUGAGUAUGUUUUCCGGUUUCUUUUGGGUGCCCUCGGUCUCGGUGAGAACCUCUAGAAGGUUUUUGUUCUCUCUGUAGAAUCCCGUAACUAUUACUGCAGAAGCUGUGGUUUCCAAGAUCCGGCUUGGUGAUAUUGCUCUCCAAAAGUUUUUGUGUAGAUCUGGUGUUCUGUGUCCAUAUGUCCCUGCCUGGAGUGUAUCUGUAGAGGUUUGGCUGUUCUGCUGAUCACGUUUCGGUUACCAAAUGAAAGUAGGCUGUUUAGUGUUCGGUCCCUUGUGUGGGCUUGUAUGUGGGGGUGGUGUCGGGUUCCCAUCUACAGCCCUAGUUGUGUUUGUAUUCUGUGUCUUGCCAUUGCUUCGUUGUGUGCGUUUUGUGUUCUGUCUUCCGAUUGCCGGUCGUCGUGCUACUUGGCAUUUUUGUACCAAGUGGUCAAACGAUCGACAUCUACUACAUUUAGAGGAAAGACCGCUAUAUUCUAGAGAGUAUUCUAUUUCUCCCUCAUUGUCUAGUCUUGGUAUAAUGAUGGAGUGGGGUAGAGCUUCUACAUUGCUUGUAAGGAUGCGUACUCUGGGUCCUGAUAGCCUGGUAAGGUAUGUGUAUGUAUCGUCUACAAAUAACACUUCGCUAAAAUUCUCAAAAGUUUCUCUCAGAAACUUUUGGGUUCGAAGAAAUGGAGUGUGCUGCUGCAGGUGCACUUCGUAUCACUGAUAGUACCACUACUCGAAAGACCCCACUCAAACUGCUAGAUUACGCACUAAUCAACAUCCCUGAAUUUUCGGAUCUAGGUUAGAGUUACAUCUCCGCGUUUCACGGAGACCCCCAAGGCCAAGGCAAUUAUAUCACUUGGAUCCAAACCAGUCUGCAUGAAACGAAUCGACAACUUCAAUCUCAUGGUAACACUUCAUUACCCACCUCAGCAAUUAAACGGAGGACAAGCUCUAUUCCCAGCUUGUUGCAACCUAGCAACGACACGCGUUCGACAUACAGAGACUUGGAAAAUCGGUAAGAUGUGGAGUCACAUGGGCGGCGAAUCAUCCUUGUCCCCUUGAAAAGACCAGGGACUGAGACAUAGCAGUUGACAAGGUCAAUAAACUCAUAUCAGUAGUUCGGCUUCAGGCCUUAUGUUGGAAGCAGUUGGUUGUUACUAAUUGAUAGUAUGCCACCCUCUUGGAAACCGGUCCUGUAUAGACAACCUCGACGUCCAGCCUUAUUAGAGUGGAUAGUUAUAUGUAAUGUGGGAAUUCGAUGUCAUUAGUCAAUCCGAUGAUUGCAAACAUCUGGAACAGUAAAUUUAAAAAUGUACAUGACUUGUAUAAAUUUAUGUACGCUCGUGUGUGAGUUGCUACUGUUCAGUGUAAACCUGAUGUGAAUAAAGUUUGUCUUUUGUUUAAAAUC